CAGAAAAUAGUUUAAAUAAAAUAAUAAUUUUGGAGAUUAUUGAUAAAUACUGUAUAUUUUUUUCUGA
rnacentral:tRNA from 1 species